GCUCAUCUCUGCUCUAGUCAUGUUAGCUGGAGCAGCUGAAAGACUGGGUCUGGGAUCCUCUGGCGGCUCUGUCACUCACACACCUGGCAAUUGGUCCUGGCUGUGGGCUGGGACCUUAGCUGGAGCUCUCAGCAAGCAAAUCUAUACAGACCGUCCCCACGUGGCCUGGGCUUCCUCACAAGUCGUGGCUCGGUUCCAAGGGCGAGGUUGCUAAAAGAGGCAGGUGGAAACAAUGUCUCCUUUUAUGGCUACUCACAAACUAUACAGCAUCAGUUCCACUGCUUUCUGUGUGAAGGUAGUCACAAAAACCCACCCAGUUUCAAGGGGAGGGGGAAAUAGAUGCCACAUCUUGGUGGGGAAGCAACAAUGUUCUGGAAGAACAUGUAGGACCAGAGAUAUUGUAGCCAUUUUUGGGAACUGCAAUCUGCCACACUUCUGCACUGUUCUGCAAUGGGCUAUGAUCUACCCCUGGAUUGGAGGUUGGGGGAUAUAAACUCCUAGGUUAUUUCAUCUGGGAAAAGUCUCUCCAGUAGCCGAAGGGUUAUCUGUUUAAGAUAGUCACUGGUGUGGGGUGUUCGUAAUAAAGGCAUGUGGAAGUUGGGGAAGACGUGUACAGAAACACUCAGGGGUAGGUCUAGGGCUUAUGGGUAGAGCAUCAACAGUGUCUGUUAUAGGAUAAUAAAAGAAAAUACUGAGGGUGAAUUAUAUCUCUGUCUCUCAUCUCAUGUGAUCACAGGCAGAGAAGGGAGAACCUGACAUCUCAGAGUUUCAGGGGACAUUAAGUGACAGAAAAUGUGAGACCCAGAAUAGCUGGAGGCCUGACUUACAGAGUUGGCCUGGCCCAGUGUGCCCAUCUCUCAAAUCCUUCUGAUCUCUGAUUGCUGAAGGGGUGGACCAGUGGCUCGCCCAUGAAUCCCACCAUCAUUUAGCCAUAACUUGCCUUGAUCCAACGUAGAUUGGAAAUCAAUCAUUUUGUUUUUACACAUGGUCCCAUAUGCAUGCAAAUAAGGAAGUCUUUAUCCACUGAGCAUAUUGUUUAAAUAACAGCAACCAAAAUACAUCUCGAGAUCUGUAGUGUUUGGGGUAUGGUGAACUAGCUUCUCUGAGAAGACAAUGGGAAAGAUCUUUUUCUAAGGGUGAGCAGGCGGAAGGAUGGAGCAUGUGCACAAAGUAGCUGAUGAGCACAUUGUCUUGGCUGGCAAAGCUGGCGUUUUGCAUAUUAGUUAAGACAGUGCCAUGGAAUAGGAUCUUCUGAUAUAAGAUUUUGUACUUUAUACCAAACCUAGAAGUUUUACUGCCCAAACUUCACAGGCCCUUAAGACCCCUCCUGCUGUCAGCAGUGUAGCUUUGAGGGAGGAAGACAGGAUUCCCUGAGGGGUCACAGGAAAGCAGCGAGGGAGGGAGAGGCCGUUCCUGGAUAUAACAGACAUCCUUUGCUCUGAAAAGUGGUCUCUACAGCAACCAGCCAUCUCCAGUUAUGACAUCACAGGAAGAUAAACCUGCCACGCUGCCUCAGUUUCCUCAGUGCAACAGGGACAAGACUGGUCUGAAGAGACACUGAUGGAGGAAGGAGCACUUAGGGGUCACUUGUGCUUGGCCAUCCAGCAGUGCCAAUGAGUUCUACAGACCUAUUCUUGGAAAUUCUUAUUGGAACAAAGCAGGUGAUCCCUGAAGGGUAUUGAAGGAUGAGGCUAAUGGUGAUGGAGUACUCAGCACCAGGCAAUGUUAGACACUAAGACUGCUAGUUUGAUGAGGCAGCCUUUCUUAAAGGACUACCCUACCAUCAUCUCCAGGAUUUCUUCCAAUUUGCUGACAAUCUUGGCUGGUGCUGCUGCAUAUGGACAGUCUGUGCCCGCUGUUCUCCCAGUCUCCCAGCUUCAGUCUGAGCACCUGACUCCAGCUGCCUUACGGACCUGAAAGUUUGCCCUCUCCCUCCGCCCCACCACAGCACACAGCAGUCGGGAGACCGUGCCGGGGACAGUAUUUGUCCUGGGCGGCUCUGGCCAGCUACUGCGAUUGGAGAGCAGCCUGGGAGCCUGAAGCUGUCCCUGAAAUGGCCCCGUCGGAGGAGACACUGACCCAGCCCGUAGACUCUGACUGCAGUGUCCUGUCUUAAUCUUCAUAUCUCCUAAUCUCUGCUGGUCUACUUAGUUCCCUGCCCCAAGUUAAUUUGCUGAGAAAACAGAGCCCUUUCCACUUUGCUGUGCUCAUUCUGCACUGCCCUGUGUUGUUAUUUUCUAGACUAAAUGUUUGUAUGUGUCCCCCACAAAUGCUUAUGUCGAAACCUAAUUCCCGAGAUGAUGGUGUUAGGAGAUGAGGCUUUGGGAGGUGAUUAGAGCAUGAGGGCAGAACCUCAUAAAUGGGACUGGUGGCCUUAUGUUAAAUAAAAGGGCCCCCAGAGCUCCCUCGCCUCUUCUACCACAUGAGGACACAGUGCAAAGACGGCCAUCUAUGAACCAGCAUGCAGACCCUCACCACACACUGAAUCUGCUGGCGCCUCGAUCUUGGACUUCCCAGCCUCCA